rnacentral:lncRNA from 1 species
ACCACGACUUUGAGAAUGUGAAACACUUUGGGUAAAUAAUAGAACCUCAGCACCAGGGCUUCCCACAGUUCCUAGUCCUGGACUCCAGUGGAAGUUCCCACAGGUGUGUUCGUUUCUCCCGGACAGCUGGAUUGUGUUCUGACACCUUCUGCAACCAGCUGGAAAACAUUCUUUCAAAGGAUUCUCAAAGUUAAGUCAGACCCAUCAGGAUAGCCUCCUGUCUUAAGACCAACUGAGCCAAACCUUACGCAGCAGGCCGGAAGUACAUGGGUCUGGAGAGAGUGAUCGUUUAUGAACGACAGAGAUCAGAUAAAUCUGUGGGAAGAGAGCAAGGUGGAGAAGAGGAAGCAAGCUCUCUGAACUUAAAGGGGUAGGGAGGAGUCGCAAGGAGAGAGAAAACCAGGACGGAAUUCUGGAGUCUUCGUGACUACAUGAAGAGAAACCUACUGUUUAAAAGAGGUGGAUUGAUUGCGGGGAUAAAAAAAACCAUUUGCUGGUUAAG